rfam:Triticum aestivum genome assembly, contig: Triticum_aestivum_CS42_TGACv1_scaffold_375852_5AL
CUUAUAUUCACUCCGUUUCAAAUUACUCGUCGUAGAAAUGGAUGUAUAUAGAAUUAAAAUACAUCUAGAUACAUCCAUUUUUGCGACGAGUAAUUUGGAAACGGAGAGAGUAGUUG